GGAGAGGAGAGGAGAGGAGAGGAGAUUUCUUGUUUCAAGAAUCACUGGGCUGUCAUGGCUUCAUCAUUUUAAGUCUUCCUUAUGACUGGAUCUGGGAAGUUCUCAUAUAGUAGGUUUCAUUCCCUUAGUUUAAGCUUAUAUUACUAUGUGAGUGAGGUGCUCCAAGUAUUGGGUAGCCCAUAAAAAGAGACAGUCUUUGGCAGAUGAAGGAUCUAACAGUAAAGGGAGUUAGUUCACAAGCUCGACCUUCCUACACCACAGAUUGGAGAAAUCUAUUGUCUGUGCUUCCUCGAUAUGCAAAGGUUGGAGGGUGCACUUCUUCACCCAAAAGGCACAUCAGGAGGGCAGCAGGCAGAAAUGAUGUGGGAAGGAGAUUUGUCCUACCAUUGUAGGUGUUUCUGCAUCCAGGCUGUGUGCAUGAAGCAUCGUCACAGGAGCAGGACCCAGCUCAGUAGGGUCUCAAUGUGAAGACCAUGUUGGUGGGACACCAAGGACAACCUCCACUGAGUUUGCUGGGGAAGAACGUUGCUGAAUGAUUGCACCGGUGGGAAGGGAGGACUAAGAGGUGAGAGUCUGUCUACAGGAAAUAAGCGAGAAGAAACACAGAUAACAGCUUGGAAGGGGAAAAAAAGGCCAGAGGAUGUCCACUGGGAGGUUUUGGUGUCUGCUCUCAGCCACUGGUGAACGGCCAUCAUGUGAUUCACGCACACGCGCGCGCGCACAUAAAAAGGUUUUUCAGAGCGCCCAGCUCGCCUCAGACCCGAGGACGGGAGAGGAGACCCGGGCUGGGAGCAGCAGGGAGAGCACCCUGUCCCAUGGAGGUGGACGCAUGGGGUUGCCUGAGUGUGAUGUUCAAGGGAAAAGCAGCAAGGAGCUAAGACAGAAGCCAACAUUUCAUGGUGAUGCUCAGAAGAUAUAUGGAUCUGCAGCAGACCUCACUCGUGAGACAUCAUGGGACUUGACUUAUGGCUGCCUGGAUGAGAUCAGGACCUUAUUUUUCUGGGGCUCCCAAGGCCAGCCUCAUCUCCACCACUUCCUUGUGCCUCGCUCUCAAAUGCCUCCCCGGCCUAAUGUCACCGAGCAACCAGUGUGAAGGUAAAUUUGAAGGCCUUUCCAUAAACAGGAGAAGCAGAGGGACCCUGUAUCCCAUGCUUCAUGGUGCUGCAGCAGCCGUGAUUUACUGUUGCAGAGGACAAAGGAGUACGAAAGCCACCCUGAAUUUGAUCAACCACCAUCACCGGCACAAACAAAAAGUGCUUCAAUUCGCUUUAUGCCAUAAGAGCCCUCACAACAGGGAGCUGGGCACGGAAACCACAGCUGGUCUCUGUUCUUCGUCACACCUCAUCACUUUUGGCUGAAGCUCCCAAUACCAGUCCUAGACCUUCCGAGGUGACUCUUGGCUCUCGCCAUCAGGGGACUCAGUGAGGCAGUCCGAAGAGGAAGGAGAUGUCACUGGUCACGCAGAAAAAUCAGAGAGCUGCCUGCAACCCAUUCUGGGUUUGGCAGCACUGCACCAGGAGGCACAUCCAUGUGGCUGCAGGACAGUUAGCUGUGUUCCCCCACCGCUGGGGAGCCAAAGGAACACAGAGUUGAUCAUUGCAUGGCAGGGUCUUUUUUUUUUUUUGGCUCCAUCUCUUAGAUCCAGUGUCCUACAUGGGUGGUAGCUGCCUUCCUGCAAAGUUAUUGACAAGGGGUGGGUGAUGCCAAUGGCCUGUAGCCGUGUCUUUCAUCACCCCAAGAUGAGAGUUCUAGGGAAGCUUUCCUAAAUCUCAACCUUGGGGGUGCAGGAGCCCUCCUGGAAAGCAGAGAGGGCAAGCACCUCAGAGCAUUGCAAAGAUCCCAGGCAGCUCCUGGCCCAACAUCUGGUCCAGUUCUUCAUAAGCAUGUGGAGAAUUGGUAAUGGUAAUGCUAUGCAAGUCCUCAUUGUCCCUGGGACAAUUCCCUGCAUUACCAGGGCCUGGAAAGAUCAAAGAGUAGCAAGGCCUGGCAGGUCUGUCUGCUACCUGCUUUGAUGGGUGGCAGACUAUUAACCCCCUCACCUCCUAACCAAGAGACCAGGUGUAAUUCCAAAAAGCAAAUCCCAAAAAGCAAGUACUGAAGGAAUGAGGAGAUGGGGGAGAAAGUUUUAUGCUUUCUUAGGUGGAAUCUUCCAUGUCCAGCAUGAUACAAUGGAGGGAACUGAGCGUUCUUUGACUGCAUGACCAAGGAAGGAUGCCCGGGGGGAGAAGAAAGGAAAUGAGUACUCCUAAAUACAUGUGGGCAGAAUGACCAGAAAAGGAUACUGUCUGGAGGGGUUCUCUGAUUGUAACAGUGCUGGGUGACCCUCAUGGACUCGUUCAGUGGAGGCCGAGGUAGCUCUGGGAAGACUUUCAGCUCCAACAGCCCAGUGGAAGCGGGGAAGCUCCUGGGGAGCCGGGGGAAGGGUUAAAUCAGGAAGGCUUCAGCCCGCUGCCUUGGCCCCUGUAAUUCCUCCAGAGAGUAGGACUGGGAGAACAAGGAGCCCAUUCUGUUCGCAGGAAUUAAUAGCAAGGAGUCAUCUGGGGUGUCAUUCAAGCCCUGAUCAGCUCCCGGAGGAAUGUGAGGGAGAGCGAGCCACAGAGCACGGCCCCAGGCUGAGGCACCACAGCCAGGGCAGAAGCAUUUGGGCUGGUAACCAGAGCUACCAGCCGGCAUUUGAGUGGUGGGACCCCAACCUUUACAUCCCCUCUGCCCUGUGAGCCCAUACACAAAGGGCUCACACCAGGCCCUAAUUUGGGGACUGGUUUCCAGUUCUUUUGUCCCUUGUUCCCCAUCUAUUUCAUGAGAGGGAAGAUGCCUCAGCCCACCAGCACCAUUGUAUCCCCUGCACCAAACCAUAAGGUCAUCAGAAGGGAUGGGUUUUGUCUUUCCUAGCAAGCUUGUCCAGGGUGAGGGUCUCCAAGGAGCCCAUAAGCACAUCUGAGGAUGUGGGUAGCUCAGGGGACUGUAGAGUUCAGUGCUUUGCCACCACAUCAGUUCUCCCAAAGUGACCGUGGUCACUGCAACAAAAGGCCAAGCCUGCAAAUUAGCACAUCCAUGUUUCAUUGUUUUUCUCCGCAGUUACAAAGAGAGGCUUGAAAGCAUUGCGUGGUGACAGUGCAGCAUUGCCUGUGAUGGAAACCUGCUUCCACAAGGCAAGGAGAGAUUUUGACCACCUCUAUCCUGGCCUGAGAAGGGAAUUUUGAGGUGGUCAACCUGCCACCUCUCUGCCUGGAUGCGCUACAGGUUCACACCUGCUGGCACAAGGUGUCCCAAGGCUGCAGUGACAUACCCAGGUUCGUUCUGCAGGGCCACCAUAUGGCUGAUGUGGUCUGCAGGGCAAUCCUUCAGGCCAGUCCUGGGUGCAUGCGUAGCUGCAGGACUAAACAUGAGUUCGGCUCACCAGCACGGCAUCGAGCACAGGUUGGGUGGAAGAUGACCCGUGUGAAAUGGGAACAGAUCUACACUGGAUUGCACAAGUUGCUUUUAUUGGCACACAGCUGGUAGCCAAAAUGCAUCCCACUAAAGCUUUCCUUCCUUCCCAUGUGCCUCAGGUUGCUGUGAAAAUGGAUUUAAGCACUAGCUCAGCAUCUCAGCAUCCUACAAGAGAUGUGCAGUGCCUCUGGGAUGGACUCCUCCGCCCCCUCUCCAUCCCUGUGCCACCACCGCCACAAUAAGCACCCCUUGUCGUAGAGGGGUUAAUAAAUGAUGCAAGAAAGGACCCCUUUAAUGCAAAGUGACCUCUGGCCUUUCAUAAAUCACAGUGUUGGGCUGCGAGUGCGCGGGGGGCACAAGGCAGUGAGGGGAGAGGAUGGGAGGGGGUCCAUGCAGCUGCGCCACGGAGUUGACAUUGUUCCCACCAUCACUAAAGUGCAACAAAUCCCUCUAUUGUGUUCCUG
ensembl:lncRNA